rnacentral:misc_RNA from 1 species
UCCUCUGCAGCAAUGCGAUUUGACUCGUGUCUUUGUUGACCGAGUUUAAACAGAGCUAGAGGAUGGUCAGUUUGGCCUAGUCCGAGUGCUAAGCAUUCUUGGGCCUAGGCUGGAUUGGUCAUUAAAUCUAUCUUUUAU